rnacentral:rRNA from 1 species
AACGAACGCUGGCGGCAUGCCUAACACAUGCAAGUCGAACGAAGCCUUCGGGCUUAGUGGCGCACGGGUGCGUAACGCGUGGGAAUCUGCCCCUUGCUUCGGAAUAACAGUUAGAAAUGACUGCUAAUACCGGAUGAAGUCUUCGGACCAAAGAUUUAUCGGCAAGGGAUGAGCCCGCGUAGGAUUAGGUAGUUGGUGGGGUAAAGGCCUACCAAGCCGACGAUCCUUAGCUGGUCUGAGAGGAUGAUCAGCCACACUGGGACUGAGACACGGCCCAGACUCCUACGGGAGGCAGCAGUAGGGAAUAUUGGACGAUGGACGCAAGUCUGAUCCAGCAAUGCCGCGUGAGUGAUGAAGGCCUUAGGGUUGUAAAGCUCUUUUACCAGGGAUGAUAAUGACAGUACCUGGAGAAUAAGCUCCGGCUAACUCCGUG